rnacentral:rRNA from 1 species
UACGUAGGAGGCGAGCGUUGUUCGGAAUUACUGGGCGUAAAGGGCUCGUAGGUGGCCAACUAAGUCGGACGUGAAAUCCCUCGGCUUAACCGGGGAACUGCGUCUGAUACUGGAUGGCUUGAGUUCGGGAGAGGGAUGCGGAAUUCCAGGUGUAGCGGUGAAAUGCGCAGAUAUCAGGAGGAACACCGGUGGCGAAGGCGGUUCUCUGGGCAUGAUCUGACGCUGAGGAGCGAAAGCGUGGGGAGCGAACAGG